UGGGGGAUAUUGCACAAUGGAGGAAACUCUGAUGCAGCGACGCCGCGUGAGGGAAGAAGGUCUUCGGAUUGUAAACCUCUGUCUUUGGGGACGAAGAAAGUGACGGUACCCAAAGAGGAAGCCACGGCUAACUACGUGCCAGCAGCCGCGGUAAUACGUAGGUGGCGAGCGUUGUCCGGAAUUAUUGGGUGUAAAGGGUGCGUAGGCGGACUGGCAAGUUGGAUGUGAAAUCUCCGCGCUUAACGUGGAGGUUGCAUUCAAAACUGUUGGUCUUGAGUGAGGCAGAGGCAGGCGGAAUUCCCGGUGUAGCGGUGAAAUGCGUAGAGAUCGGGAGGAACACCAGUGGCGAAGGCGGCCUGCUGGGCCUUAACUGACGCUGAGGCACGAAAGCAUGGGUAGCAAACA
rnacentral:rRNA from 1 species